UACAGAGGUCUCAAGCGUUGUUCGGAUUCAUUGGGCGUAAAGGGUGCGUAGGCGGCGCGGUAAGUCGGGUGUGAAAUCCCCAGGCUUAACCUGGGAACUGCAUUCGAGACUGCACUGCUAGAGUAUGGGAGAGGGAAGUGGAAUUUCCGGUGUAGCGGUGAAAUGCGUAGAUAUCGGAAGGAACAUCAGUGGCGAAAGCGACUUCCUGGACCAAUACUGACGCUCAUGUGCGAAAGCGUGGGGAGCAAACAGG
rnacentral:rRNA from 1 species